rnacentral:misc_RNA from 1 species
UGCCUAGAAAUGAUGUAGGAACCGUUUUUUAUCCAGACUACAUAGAAAAGCUCAUUACAGAAACAAAUUUAUUAAGAUUUGAACAAGAACUCAAAAUCCAAAAGAGCAGAGUAAAAAUAAUGGAACUACGCAUCAUUUCGUCAGUUGUUAAACUGGAGAAAAAGUAUUUCAAUGAUAAGAUUGCACAGAAAGGUCAAAAGUUGUUGAAUCCAGUGAAAAACCUUCUUCCCAAAUUUCUUCAUAUCACUAUUGAGGAGAACCAUAAACAAAGAUUGAUUCACAGGGUUUCCGGAGAUGAAUGGGCUGAAGUUAAAUAUUUGGCUACUAAAAGUGUUAUACAAAAGCUGAUGAAAAUCAAUGAAGAGAAAAAUAAAACACUAGAAUGAAGUAUGGAAUAUCUAGAUUUUGAUGUUAACUGAAUGUAACUGCAAAGAAAUAAUCUACUUAUUAUGGGGAGCUAUCUGCUUUGUCGAUAAGUGUUAAAAUAAAAAAAAGUUUAUUAGUAAAAUGUUUAAAGUUAAGUUACUACUUUUAAGAGGAUAAUUUAGAAUGUGUAUUUUUUAUACUAUAUGAUUUUCUUUUAGUUGUUUGUUAUCAGGUGAUAAUAGUAAUGUUUCAACUGACAAUCUUUAAAUUCUUAUGAUUUAACUUUGUACCAUGUACUUAGUAUGUAUGUAGGUACUGUUCUUAUAAUUAUUAUAAGCUGGUAAAAAAAUAUGUAAAUAUUAUAUCUGUAGCAUUAACUAGCAUCAAAAUAAUUUACAUUAUACAACAAAAAAAGCGCAAUAAAAAAUUUAGAUUAUUUUUCAUUUUU